AGACUUCUACAGUAUGCCAAGUACUGUGGCAUUCAUGGAAAUACUAUCUAGGACAGUAAAGCAACAAAACAAGGUGGACAGCUCCAGGGGGAUGGCAUACAUUUCCCCAUCAAACAUGCCCCUCUUCUCAUGAAAACACAGGCGUCAUGUUAAAUAAAAAGCCAGAAGCAAAGUUACUACCAAAAGGAAAGGUUCUCAGGCGCAGUGAUGCCACUGCUGGAGCUGGGAAGGCAGCUCAAAUGUGCUUUACAACCAGCAAGAGAAACAGGAAACAUUUUUCCAAAGCCAGUGAGACAACUGAGUCAGAAUGGGGUGGCAAUAAAAACAAUGCCAAGAAAAUACUCAUUCCGGUGAAAAGAUUACCAAAGAUCUCUCCCAAAGUUGAAUAGAAAUAAGAAAGGUUGGUAGUUCAAGAGUUUGAAGGACAGAAGAUCUAAGGAUCAAGAAAAUGGGAGAAUGUACUAUACUAUAUAGUACUGUACUAUAAUCUCAUGUCAGUGAAUAGUGCAAAGACUCCAGGGUUUCAGAUAAUAAUAAGCCAGCUAGGAGGGAGAUCUGAGUAUACUGUGAAUUGGAGAUGACUGAAGGCUAGGGCAGACAGCUAUCAAAAAAGCAAAAAACUUUAGUAAUGGAACCCAUGAACACCUUGGCUCAGCAAUAAACAUUACAAUGCACAUGACAGUUAAAGACACAGAUACCAACCAAAUGCGUUGGCUGACAUCUGCAAUCUCUCAAGAGUAUGGGGCAGGAGGAUUGCUGCAAUCCAGCCUGAACUACAGAGUGAGACCUGCUCAAAAGAGCACGGAUACCAAGUAAAAUAGCUGCAUUAAAAGAAUGGUAUAUGGAGACUAUGUAAGUUCUAUUUUUAGCAUAACAAAGUAAGUCAGAGUCUAAUAUUAAAUCACACAAUGUCAGUAUAAGUACUUUAAGACAGAUAAACCUAAAGAAUGGUGUGUUCAUAGGAAAACUAGACAGUUAAAAAUGGCUGCUAGCAGAAAUAUAAGGCAGACUUUCAGAAUGGAGAGGGCUUCUACCAUAUGUGGUCAUGAGACUUUCAAACAUGCCUGACUUGAGUUUUAAGACUGAGCCACUUUAACUGAAAAUACUGAUGUCAAGAUAUGUA